rnacentral:lncRNA from 1 species
GCCAGGAGCCACCUGAGGCAGAACUGCGCUGGAGGCAGCUGGGCCAGGCCUGUGAGGGCAGCUUUGUGCUUCUCUUCCCCGCUCUGGGCUCUGCUUGACCAGGUUCUCAGGAGAAUCAGCCCUAGGGGGGGCCUGGCCCUGUGGCUCUGCAGAGCCCGAAGUCAGAUAUGCACCGGACUUCAGGAGGUUACAGCUGAGAGACAUGUUAACUUGUGAGAACGAGCAUGGAGCCAUUUUUGUUCUUCUUGCACAAGAAGAAAAACUGUAGAAUCUUUCUAAAAAACGUAGAAAACCUUUGUUGGGUGCGAAGCUACAAGCUGAGGACACUGGCUGAUUCUUUGAGAGACUUAAAAAAAUAUCAAGAAUGGAAAAUACUGGAAAAUGAGCUGGAUAAACCGGGCUCACCCACUGGGGUCUCCCGCAUGACGAGGCCAAGAGGAUCUGGAAUACGUUCCCUCGUCAAGCCUUUUCUGAAGGGACUUCCCUGUGGUUAG